rnacentral:lncRNA from 1 species
GUACGCUGCCUGGCUCUACUUACUCCCGGCCCUUUUGUUCUGUAGCCGGACGCGCGUGGCGAGGGGCUGGGAGCGGCGUUAGGGGAGCAGCAGAUCUGGAAAUGGAGGUAACUAUGCCUGAAAGAAGUGAGAGCUUAUUAAAGAGGUUUGCUUGGAGUGCAAUUCAAACUCACUGGGAAGACAGCAAAACCACCAAGAAUCGGCUCAUGCUGAGGCAGAGAGGCCAACCUGUCAAACAAGAUGCAAGCGCUGCUGUUACAUUGUUGCUUGGUCCUUGCCUGGGACUUGGGGCAAACGCUGGCCAAGAAAGCAGAUCGUGGUGCGUAGCAUGGUGACAACUGGCAAGCUGAAAGCAUUUCAGACAACUCGAAAUGUAAUGGAAUCAGUUUUACCGAACUAAAUUAGUUUUUAUUUUUGUACCUCUCUAACUGUAGAUAUCAGUUGGCAAUCAAUGCGUAAUGAAUAGUUCUGAAUUUCUUGUGCUGCUGCAGCUUGACUCAGUCCUGGCUUUUUGACCCUUUGCACGCGGCUUGCUUCGCGGUACACCAUGACUCACAAAUAGAAGCC